GCGGAUAUAGAUUAGAGGUAGAUCGUCCGCCUUCCAAGCAGAGGAUAUGGGUUCGAUUCCCGUUAUCCGCA
rnacentral:tRNA from 1 species